UGUUGUGGAUUAGGCUUUGGCUUAAGACAAUGGGGUGGCUGAUUGAUCUUCUAUCCAGACCGCUAAAACUUCCUCCAUAUCAAC
rnacentral:pre_miRNA from 1 species